CCUAAAAAAAAAAACAGAAUUUCAUAAAUUUAAGAUAUAUUUAUAUGAAGGGUUUGAAAAAGAUCCCUAUGUUUAGUUUGUUACAGAACGAUAUAGAAUUUUAAACGUUUCCGCUGAAACAAUAUAAAAACGUAAAUUAGUAAAGUUCUCAAAACUUGAAGAAAAAACGAUUUAGGAAUGGCUUUCAUUUCACAUAUGAGAUAUACUAGAAUAAAUAUAACAUUUGACCACAGAGUUGUAUGACGCCACAAGAGUAUUUUAUGUACCUCAUUUGUGCACAUGAAAACACACAAUUUAAAAUGUUUAUUUUAAUAAUAAGUCAUUUUACACAAAAUGUGCAUCUAACACAUGCAUGCACUUAGACAUCAAUGUAACAUACAUUUUUUACAUGUUUAAUUUUUAAUUGAUUAAUAUCCUUCUAAAAUAAAUUGAGAAAUAUACGACGUACAAACUUAAGCUGAUAAAAUAAUACAAUUAGUGUAUAUUGAAUUAUAAUACGAUUGAAGGGUUGACGUUUGAAUAAGCACACAUCUAGGAUAAGUUAUUCGAUAUUUUACUAAAAACGUUGCUUAUAGAAUAAUUUUUCAUAUAAGAACUAUAAAGAAUGAUAAUAUUGAAAAAUGAUGCAAUAAUGAUAAUGAUAAAUAAUAAACAAGCCAAUAAUGUAGUUUUUGAUUUUUAGUAUGAGACGACGCUUGAAUUGACACUCAAAUUUAAUGAACUGUUUCAAAUAAAAACGGAAGAAUUUUGAUAUUGAAGAUAUUGCGCGAGACAAAGUUAAUUAAUCAUUCUGUAUAUAUAUAUCACUUUAAUACUUACGCAGAGAGUAUGAAAACUAUGACAUAAGAUAAAUUAUAAACUUACUACGGAGUUAGGCGAAUGAAAUACAUCCGAAGAAGAACGCAUGGUAAACUCCUCUUCGAGCCUGUUGGGAGGCAUGUGAAUGAGAAAAAAUUCGAAAUAAUAAGUCAAACGAUAACG